UACGGGGGGAGCAAACGUUGUUCGGAAUCACUGGGCGUAAAGGGCGUGUAGGCGGCUGGAUAAGUGGGAUGUUAAAUCCCCCGGCUCAACCGGGGACCUGCAUCUCAUACUGUUCAGCUCGAGCACAUCAGAGGAGACUGGAAUUCCCGGUGUAGCGGUGAAAUGCGUAGAUAUCAGGAAGAACACCCGUGGCUAAGGCGGUUCUCUAGUACGGUACUGACGCUGAGACGCGAAAGCGUGGGGAGCGAACAGG
rnacentral:rRNA from 1 species